AUUGAACGCUGGCGGCAUGCUUUACACAUGCAAGUCGGACGGCAGCACAGAGAAGCUUGCUUCUUGGGUGGCGAGUGGCGAACGGGUGAGUAAUAUAUCGGAACGUACCGAGUAAUGGGGGAUAACUAAUCGAAAGAUUAGCUAAUACCGCAUAUUCUCUGAGGAGGAAAGCAGGGGACCUUCGGGCCUUGCGUUAUUCGAGCGGCCGAUAUCUGAUUAGCUAGUUGGUGGGGUAAAGGCCUACCAAGGCGACGAUCAGUAGCGGGUCUGAGAGGAUGAUCCCCCACACUGGGACUGAGAACCGGCCCAGACCCCUAGGGGGGGCAGCAGUGGGGAAUUUGGGAAAAUGGGCGCAAGCCUGACCCAGCCAUGCGGCGUGUCGGAAGAAGGCCUUCGGGUUGUAAAGGAUUUUUGUCAGGGAAAAAAAGGCUGUUGCUAAUAUCGACAGCUGAUGACGGUACCUGAAGAAAAAGCCCCGGCUAACUACGG
rnacentral:rRNA from 1 species